AUCAUCUAUCUAUCUUUCUAGGUCUUGCACAUAGUGGGGUCUUGUAGGGGCAACAGGUAUAGUAGAGCAGGAUGGGGGCAGUAACAUUUUAUUUGUGUUUCCCAUACAGCCCAUUGGUUAUUAUCUUCUACUCAUAGCAACUACUAACAGCUGAUGCCUGUUGGGGUGGGGUGCUUGGAGUAACAGUUCGACUACAUCUGAAGGUGCAUAGCAGCUCCAUCUGGCACCGGAAAAGAAUCGCUACACCUUCCAAUAGAGCCAUCACUCCCCGCAGCAUCCAUCCAGCGACUGUAAAUACAGCCAUGCGGACAAUAAACAACUAAAGGGAAACUAAAAUGGAAACAAAAUAAGGAAAUAGAGUUUUUGGCAACGUAAAAGCUAAAGAGCGAAAAUUCUCCCCAGCGCAGCCUUAUUGGAGGCAGGCAAUUAAAUACUAAUUAAUCAGCACGGGCCGAUCCCUGUAUGUUUUGCCUCGGAAAUAUCUCUGGUUUGCAUCAGCGCAGCUCGCGAGAUGCCAUCUCCUCCCGACUCGGCAAACGCUGCAGCUGAUUGCGUGAGGCUGUGAUGCUGGCACCUACCCCCUGCUCCUGAUUUGCAUAUGUAAUGCAAGCAUACUUAAUGACUCAAAGAAUCAGUGGUCUCAGUACAUGUGCAGAGAGCAAGAACGCAGUGAGUGCAAAAAAAAGGUACAUG